rnacentral:rRNA from 1 species
CGACGUGAGGAACCUGCCUUUUCAGAGGGGGAUAACAGUUGGAAACGACUGCUAAUACCGCAUAACGCUGCGAUGGGGCAUCCCGAUGCAGCCAAAGGAGCAAUCCGCUGAAAGAUGGGCUCGCGGCCGAUUAGCUAGUUGGUGGGGCAACGACCCACCAAGGCGACGAUCGGUAGCCGGACUGAGAGGUUGAUCGGCCACACUGGGACUGAGACACGGCCCAGACUCCUACGGAAGGCAGCAG